UACGGGGGGGGCAAGCGUUGUUCGGAAUUACUGGGCGUAAAGGGCUCGUAGGCGGCCAACUAAGUCGGACGUGAAAUCCCCAGGCUCAACCUGGGAACUGCGUCCGAUACUGGAUGGCUUGAAUUCGGGAGAGGGAUGCAGAAUUCCAGGUGUAGCGGUGAAAUGCGUAGAUAUUGGGAGGAACACCAGUGGCGAAGGCGGCUCACUGGACCGGAACUGACGCUGAGGCGCGAAAGCGUGGGAGCAAACAGG
rnacentral:rRNA from 1 species